GACCGGCGCAAGGGUGCGUAACGCGUGAGCAACAUGCCCGUAUCAGGGGAAUAAUCCAGGGAAACUUGGUCUAAUACCCCAUAGUAAAUAUUAAAGGCAUCUUUAAUAUUUUAAAGCUUUGGUGGAUACGGAUUGGCUCGCGUGACAUUAGCUGGAUGGUAAGGUAACGGCUUACCAUGGCUACGAUGUCUAGGGGUUCUGAGAGGAAGAUCCCCCACACUGGAACUGAGACACGGUUCAGACUCCUACGGGAGGCAGCAGUGAGGAAUAUUGGACAAUGGAUGGAAAUCUGAUCCAGCCAUGCCGCGUGCAGGAAGACGGCCCUAUGGGUUGUAAACUGCUUUUAUAUGGGAGCAAUAAGGCCUACGUGUAGGUCGAUGAGAGUACCAUAUGAAUAAGCACCGGCUAACUCCGUGCCAGCAGCCGCGGUAAUACGGAGGGUGCAAGCGUUAUCCGGAUUUAUUGGGUUUAAAGGGUGCGUAGGCGGUUUGAUAAGUCAGCGGUGAAAUAUUUCAGCUUAACUGGAAGGGUGCCGUUGAUACUGUCAGGCUUGAAUUUAGUUGCUGUGGGUGGAAUGUGUGGUGUAGCGGUGAAAUGCAUAGAUAUCACACAGAAUAUCGAUUGCGAAGGCAGCUCACAAAGCUAACAUUGACGCUGAUGCACGAAAGUGUGGGGAUCAAACAGGAUUAGAUACCCUGGUAGUCCACACUGUAAACGAUGAUAACUUGCUGUCGGCGAUACAUAGUCGGUGGCCAAGCGAAAGCGAUAAGUUAUCCACCUGGGGAGUACGACCCGCAGGUUGAAACUCAAAGGNNNNNNCGGGGGCC
rnacentral:rRNA from 1 species